AACGAACGCUGGCGGCAGGCCUAACACAUGCAAGUCGAGCGGACCUUUCGGGGUCAGCGGCGGACGGGUGAGUAACGCGUGGGAAUAUGCCCUUCUCUACGGAAUAGUCCUGGGAAACUGGGGGUAAUACCGUAUACGCCCUUUGGGGGAAAGAUUUAUCGGGGAAGGAUUAGCCCGCGUUGGAUUAGGUAGUUGUGGGGUAAUGGCCUACCAAGCCGACGAUCCAUAGCUGGUUUGAGAGGAUGAUCAGCCACACUGGGACUGAGACACGGCCCAGACUCCUACGGGAGGCAGCAGUGGGGAAUCUUAGACAAUGGGGGCAACCCUGAUCUAGCCAUGCCGCGUGAGUGAUGAAGGCCUUAGGGUUGUAAAGCUCUUUCAGCUGGGAAGAUAAUGACGGUACCAGCAGAAGAAGCCCCGGCUAACUCCGUG
rnacentral:rRNA from 1 species